rnacentral:rRNA from 1 species
AGAGUUUGAUCCUGGCUCAGAUUGAACGCUGGCGGCAUGCUUUACACAUGCAAGUCGAACGGCAGCGGGGGCUUCGGCCUGCCGGCGAGUGGCGAACGGGUGAGUAAUGCAUCGGAACGUGCCCAGUCAUGGGGGAUAACUACGCGAAAGCGUAGCUAAUACCGCAUACGCCCUGAGGGGGAAAGCGGGGGAUCGCAAGACCUCGCGUGAUUGGAGCGGCCGAUGUCGGAUUAGCUAGUUGGUGGGGUAAAGGCCUACCAAGGCGACGAUCCGUAGCGGGUCUGAGAGGAUGAUCCGCCACACUGGGACUGAGACACGGCCCAGACUCCUACGGGAGGCAGCAGUGGGGAAUUUUGGACAAUGGGGGCAACCCU